rnacentral:rRNA from 1 species
UUCUUGGAUUUAUUGGAAGACUAACUACUGGCGAAAGCAUUUGCCAAGGGAUGUUUUCAUUAAUCAAGAACGAAAGUUAGGGGAUCGAAGACGAUCAGAUACCGCUCGUAGUCUUAACCAUAAACUAUGCCGACUAGGGAUCGGAUGAUGUUAAUUUUUUAAUGACUCA